CCUCCACUCCCCGACACUUCCGGCGGACCCUCAAGAAGUACGAAGGCUUACGUGCUCAACCGCACGCCUCCUCUCGGUCGCCGUCUGCCGUCACCACCUCUAGCCACGCGCGUAGAGUUCAUGAGUCAGUUUCUGUGUGUUCACAGUAAAGCCAUUGCUGGAAAGAAAUCACACACCUGGAAGGGAUCAUUGGUCCCACUCAAGAGUCAGAGCGCAAAAAGAGAAAUUGCUGACACAAGAAAUUCUGCUUUUACAUGGUACCUUGUGAAGAAAACACUUUAUAAAUUCUUGGGUGAUUUCCAAACCACCUGCAGUUCUGAAUUAGAAGAGACCUCAGUGAUUUCUGCUCUGAUCUACUCUUAAACCAGAACCAGAACCCGCUCCUACUCCACAACAUGCUAGGGAAGACUCAAAUGUAGAUGAUCAUUAUCUCGAUGUCAUCAUGCUUCUGUAGUUCUUAUGAGAAAUGACCAGCCAAUCUCAACUGAAAACAUCAAUAUCCCUGUAACCCAGAUUGUAGAAAGAACCACCAGAUCUCCUCCAAAUAUGGGUCCUCCUGUAAGAUCCAAGACAAUUCCAAAGAAUUCAUGCUGAAAACUGCUUUCCACUUCCAGAAAGUGAAUUGAUGAAUUGAAUGGAGAUUGAAGCACAUUUUUCUUGCUUUUUUAUUUUUAUAGCAUGGCAGAUAUAGAGAUCUGUUUUGCAUUACUUUACAUGUAUAUUAGGUAUCAUAUUUGAUUUCUCAAAAUUUAAAAAUGAAUGUUAAAAUAAUUAAAUAAGGCCCUUUUGUCAAUCUUGACUACCCUUUACUACCACUACCACUCCCCCCCCCCCCACAUAUACUUUGUAUCUAUC
ensembl:lncRNA